GGUUAAGUGACUAAGCGUACACGGUGGAUGCCUAGGCAAUCAGAGGCGAAGAAGGACGUGCUAAUCUGCGAAAAGCUUGGAUGAGUUGAUAAGAAGCGUUUAAUCCAAGAUAUCCGAAUGGGGAAACCCAGUAGAUGAAGAAUCUACUAUCAAUAGAUGAAUACAUAGUCUGUUGAGGCAAACCGGGAGAACUGAAACAUCUAAGUACCCCGAGGAAAAGAAAUCAACCGAGAUUUUGUAAGUAGCGGCGAGCGAAAGCGAAAGAGCCAGUGAGUGAUAGCAGCAAAGACAGAAGAAUUGGCUGGGAAGCCAAGCGACACAGGGUGAUAGCCCCGUAUUUUAAGUUUAUGUUGUGGUACUAAACUUGCAACAAGUAGGGCGGGACACGAGAAAUCCUGUUUGAAGAUGGGGGGACCAUCCUCCAAGGCUAAAUACUCCUGAUUGACCGAUAGUGAACCAGUACUGUGAAGGAAAGGCGAAAAGAACCCCAGUGAGGGGAGUGAAAUAGAACCUGAAACCGUGUACGUACAAGCAGUGGGAGCCCGAAAGGGUGACUGCGUACCUUUUGUAUAAUGGGUCAGCGACUUAUAUUUUGUAGCGAGGUUAACUGAAUAAGGGAGCCGAAGGGAAACCGAGUCUUAACUGGGCGGUGAGUUGCAAGGUAUAGACCCGAAACCCGGUGAUCUAGCCAUGGGCAGGUUGAAGGUUGGGUAACACUAACUGGAGGACCGAACCGACUAAUGUUGAAAAAUUAGCGGAUGACUUGUGGCUGGGGGUGAAAGGCCAAUCAAACCGGGAGAUAGCUGGUUCUCCCCGAAAUCUAUUUAGGUAGAGCCUUAUGUGAAUACCUUCGGGGGUAGAGCACUGUUUCGGCUAGGGGUCCAUCCCGGAUUACCAACCCGAUGCAAACUGCGAAUACCGAAGAGUAAUGCAUAGGAGACACACAGUGGGUGCUAACGUCCAUCGUGGAGAGGGAAACAACCCAGACCGCCAGCUAAGGUCCCAAAGUCUAUAUUAAGUGGGAAACGAAGUGGGAAGGCUUAGACAGCUAGGAUGUUGGCUUAGAAGCAGCCACCAUUUAAAGAAAGCGUAAUAGCUCACUAGUCGAGUCGGCCUGCGCGGAAGAUGUAACGGGGCUAAAAUAUAGCACCGAAGCUGCGGCAUCAGGCGUAUCACAAAUACGCCUUACGAUUAACAACAUCGAAUGAAGUGAAACGGAAUAAGAUGUUGGUCAAGCACCCAACACGUUGAGUUGGCAUAAAGUGCGGAUAGAAAUCAGAGGAAUAUUUGUGAUACGCCUGUUGGGUAGGGGAGCGUUGUGUAAGCGGAUGAAGGUGAAUCGAGAGGUUUGCUGGACGUAUCACAAGUGCGAAUGCUGACAUAAGUAACGAUAAAACGAGUGAAAAACUCGUUCGCCGGAAGACCAAGGGUUCCUGUCCAACGUUAAUCGGGGCAGGGUGAGUCGGCCCCUAAGGCGAGGCUGAAAAGCGUAGUCGAUGGGAAACGGGUUAAUAUUCCCGUACUUGGUAAAGCUGCGAUGUGGGGACGGAGAAGGUUAGGUUAGCAGACUGUUGGAUGUCUGUUUAAGUUGGUAGGUGGGGAGUUUAGGCAAAUCCGGACUUCCAUAACACUGAGAGAUGAUGACGAGUUUCUACGGAAAUGAAGUAACUGAUACCACGCUUCCAGGAAAAGCCACUAAGCGAAAGGCUUUACUAAACCGUACUGAAAACCGACACAGGUGGUCAGGUAGAGAAUACUCAGGCGCUUGAGAGAACUCGGGUGAAGGAACUAGGCAAAAUAGCACCGUAACUUCGGGAGAAGGUGCGCUGGCGUAGGUUGUAGGAGUAUACCUCCGAAGGCUGAACCAGUCGAAGAUACCAGCUGGCUGCAACUGUUUAUUAAAAACACAGCACUCUGCAAACACGAAAGUGGACGUAUAGGGUGUGAUGCCUGCCCGGUGCUGGAAGGUUAAUUGAUGGUGUUAUCGAAAGAGAAGCUCCUGAUCGAAGCCCCAGUAAACGGCGGCCGUAACUAUAACGGUCCUAAGGUAGCGAAAUUCCUUGUCGGGUAAGUUCCGACCUGCACGAAUGGCAUAAUGAUGGCCAGGCUGUCUCCACCCGAGACUCAGUGAAAUUGAAAUCGCCGUGAAGAUGCGGUGUACCCGCGGCUAGACGGAAAGACCCCGUGAACCUUUACUAUAGCUUGACACUGAACAUUGAAUUUUGAUGUGUAGGAUAGGUGGGAGACUAAGAAGCAG
rnacentral:rRNA from 1 species